AUACUGUCCUUUACCUUUUUCAGUCAAGGCUGUUUGUUCUACCUCUUGAGCCAUAGUUCCACUUCUAUCUUUUUGAUG